rnacentral:tRNA from 1 species
GCCUCGAUAGCUCAGUCGGGAGAGCGUAAGACUGAAGAUCUAAAGGUCCCUGGUUCAAUCCCGGGUCGAGGCA